CUGGGGAACCUGCCCCAUAGUCUGGGAUACCACUUGGAAACAGGUGCUAAUACCGGAUAAGAAAGCGGAUCGCAUGAUCAGCUUUUAAAAGGCGGCGUAAGCUGUCGCUAUGGGAUGGCCCCGCGGUGCAUUAGCUAGUUGGUAAGGUAAAGGCUUAUCAAGGCGAUGAUGCAUAGCCGAGUUGAGAGACUGAUCGGCCACAUUGGGACUGAGACACGGCCCAAACUCCUACGGGAGGCAGCAGUC
rnacentral:rRNA from 1 species